AAAAUGGCUCUUUUCAGAGCCCACGAAAUUAAUUUUUUAAAGAGUUG
rfam:Lutzomyia longipalpis Contig35370, whole genome shotgun sequence.